rnacentral:lncRNA from 1 species
GGGAGUCCUGUCCCUUGCUCGGUUUCUCUAUGGCCUGGACUCAACCCCCAAAACCCUGGGGUCAGUAGGGUUGGAAUCUUGGGGGCAGAAUUCCAGAGACUAGUGUCUACUCCUCGUCGAUCUAGCCACGUGCAGCUUCCAUCCCCGGCUCUUUCCUCCUUUGGGAACUCCCUGGUUCUUCUGCCUCGUACCCUGGUCUCGGCCUUCAGGAAACCCUCGCCAGGUCUUACCACCCCUGCCAGUCCCACCCCACUGCAGCCUGAUGCCUGGGUCCUCACUGUGCAGGAGGGUGAGUCUUGAGACUGCAAAGGAGGGGGGCUUGGUGGAAGAAUGAACCUUCACAUCCAGCACAGAGACUGAAGUUUUGGGGGCUGUUACUUGCCCCCGUCUGAACCCUCCGGCGUCUUCUUUCAGACAGGGAUGCCCAGAAGUUGGGGGUUUAUCUUCUUCUCUCAGAUCGAGGGUUCCUCUGACUCUCCCAAUGCCUGGGCCAUGCUGGUUGGGUGGGGUGGGGGGCAGGUGGUAUGGAGCUG